rnacentral:lncRNA from 1 species
CGCCGAGACACUGCUGGUGGUACUCGAUCACAUCUUGGUUUGGACAGACCACAUAGUGGCCAGUGGCUGCCAUAUUGGACAGCACUGGUGUAAGAGGGUCCAUCUCUCACUCCCACAUCAAUGUCCAAUGGUUUCUCAUUCAACUGGAAAGUGAAAUUGGAAAUCUUGUGAAAGAUGAAGAAUUAUGAAUGUGUGACACCCAGAGGGAAGAUGAUGUGAAGACAGAGAGAGAAGACAGCCAUCAGCAAGCCAAGGAGAGAAGUCUGGAAUGGAUCCUCCCCUCACAGCCCUCAGAAGGAACCAAGCCAGCCAGCCUCUCAAUCUCACACUUUUAGCCUCCAGAUCUGUGAGACAAUAAGUUUAUGUUGUUUAAGCCCUCCAGUCUGUGGUACUUUGUAAUGUAGCCCCAGCAAACUAAAACAUGGGUUGGCUGGUGGCAUUAGAACAAGUUGCCCAUGAAAA